rnacentral:rRNA from 1 species
UUAGCCCUAAACCUCAGUAGUUAAAACAACAAAACUACUCGCCAGAAUACUACAAGCAACAGCUUGAAACUCAAAGGACUUGGCGGUGCUUCACACCCCCCUAGAGGAGCCUGUCCCAUAAUCGAUAAACCCCGAUCCACCCCACCCUCUCUUGCUUAGCCUAUAUACCGCCAUCUUCAGCAAACCCUGAUAAAGGUCACAAAGUGAGCGCAAAUGCCUAUCUUCGCAAAAACGUUAGGUCAAGGUGUAGCCCAUGAGACGGUAAAAGAUGGGCUACAUUUUCUACCUCAGAAAACCCUACGAUAACUCUCAUGAAACCUAAGAGUCCGAGGAGGAUUUAGCAGUAAAUUAAGAGUAGAGUGCUUAAUUGAACUAGGCCAUAAAGCACGC